ensembl:lncRNA
GGAGAUUCCAAUGUGCAGCCACUUCGAGAUCCAGUCUUCCAGAUGGAUCUCAAACUUGAGUGUGUCACGGUCACCCAGAAGGCUUGUUAAAACAUCGAUUCUGGGCUCCACCCCCAGAUUUUCUCUGUAACUCGGCUUCAAGUGGGACUUGAGAAUGUGCAUUUCUAACAAGGUGCCAGGCUCUCUGUUUCUGUUGUCAGCUCAGCCACAGCCCUGCCUGCUUCUGAACAGCAGCAACAACGUCCACCUCCCCAUCAAGAUCCCAUGAUUAUGAUUCUUUGGAACUACGUUUCCCAGAUUCCCUUCGCAGCAGGUUCUGUGCUGGAUUUAGCCAAUGAGAGAUGCUUGAUUGAGAUUCGAAGCCAAAGGUAAAGAAAAGUCAUGCGUUACUGAGGCAGUUGUGGGCAGAGCAUGGGCCUCAGCAGAUGGCAGCCCCUGGGCCAUGUCAGUGGUUUCUGGGCAUUCUUCUGAGAACCACCUUUAUGGUGCCGCAGGCAGCCGAGAUCAUCAGCAGGGACUUCCCCAUGGUUCUUGCACUUCUAGAUUUUCUGAAAGCCAGCACCAGCCUCCUUGACCUUUGAAUCCUCCAACCUUUACAACAGUUAUGUAAACCUCUAAUUUUCUAUAUUAAAUCUCUUCCUGCCUGAGUAGCUUCUGAUUUCCUGACUGUAUUAGUCAGGGUUCUCCACGGAAACAGAACCAAUAGGAGUUUAUAUAGAGAGAGGAAGAGAGAAAGAGUUUUAGUAUAAGGAAUUAGCUCAUGUGAUGGUGGAGCCUGGUGAAUCCCAAAUCUGCAGUAUGGACUGGCGGGCUGGAGACCAAUAGAGCCACUGGUGCUGCUCCAUUCUGAAGACAGGCAACGUGAAGAUCCAGGAGGGGUGAUGGUACAGACAAAGUUAUAUUUUCAUUUAUAUUUGCCCCUAAUUGUGUCUAUUGGUAUAAUGCUUUAGGAGACAAAGUAGUUGUUGUAAUAGAAUGUUAUGAAGGAAAGAAUUAAUGGUAGGACUAUGGGACGGAUGGUUCUCAGUGCAUAGGGGAGCUGAAUGAAGGCUUGGGAUCCCUAAAAUUAGAAUGGGACGCUUGCAUGGAUGCUGUUGAAUAUUUGGACGUUGAACCCCAAAUCGUCCUGAACUCCCUUGUCAGGAGAAGCAGUCCCUCCUCCUACCUCUCAGAUGGUUUAUCUCCUCACUCUCAAAGACCCUGCAAUAAAGUGAGCUAAGGCAGUUGGGAGAAGCUGACUGAACUUAAGGCCUACCCCUGCCAUCUCUCAUUACCUACAGACCCAAUUAAUAUUGCUUCUCAGCAGCCUCCAGGGAUAAGAGGGCUCAAUGUAAACUUGGAGGAGAUAGCAUAUUCACCAAAAGAAGAUUUUACCCAUGGAUUCUUAAAGUUCAUACCAAAGAGGAAAUAAUGUAGCACUGGAUUGGGCUGAAUUUAUCAAAAUGGAUUGGAGUUUUAUCUCAAACAGCUGAAGCUGACUCUAACAAUUUCUGACUCUUGGACAUAAAUGUGGACUCAAUUGCGGCUUGUGGCUGGCGCUAGUUCACAGACCCGAAGAUGCUUGAAGGAAGGGAGGAAGUCUCCCUCUGAGGAAGAACCCCACAGCACUGCCAUAAGUUUAUGCAUUGCCUGAUAGAGACUGAAUCCCUGACCAAUGGACCAUAUGUGACCAUGCAACCUGAACCACACAUCAUCUCCUGAGUGUUACUGAUUAACCAAGCCAUGAAGUUGGGCAUGUGCAGCAGCAUACCAUAAUCAAAUGGAAAUGGUAUAUAUGAGACUGGAUUUGAUCAGUGUGUAUAAAAAGUAUGCAUAUUCUGAAGUGCCGAUCUUCAAAAUCUUCUGACUUCAAAAACAUUUCCCCAUCCUGAAAUGGUUGAGAUCUACUGCCCUCAGAUCUGCAGCUUCAGUGUAGCCCGUAUAGGAGAUGACAUUCCAGGAGCCAAGCCAAGAAUUUGUUAAAAGCUUUCAUCUGGUCCAGAAUUUCUGCAAUCCUGUAUCAGACUGUUUCUAUAGUGGACACUGCUUUAUCUGAGAAGUUUCUGGACUUAGCUAACUUAGGGGGCAGAGUGUUGGGACUAUCUUAGAACCCAGCUUGAACUAGCUAAAGCAAAAAUGGGUCUCUGGAAAGACAAACUGAAUGAACGCUCAGGAAGCAGGGCAGUGCUGAGGACCUACAGACUGGAGUUGGGGCCACACUCCUUGUCUCCACUCUGCAUCAGUCACGGAAUUUAAUUCUUCACAACCUCACAACCAAAGAAGAAAGGGGGUUGAGUAUAAGACAGGGUUUCUCUCUCCAAGCUCUGGUUUUUAAAAUCUUUCAGAAGGCCUUUGGUGGGCCCAGUGUGGAUCUCGAGUCCUUUCCUUGGCUCAAACACUGCCGUGGGGCUGAGGAGUGGGCCAGUGUCUUACUCACAUAUGUCUGUGGCUGGAGGAUGGAGCUCUAUAAAUCGGAGGGAGGGGAAAUGGGUGCUGGGAAGAAAAAGAAGAUGUUCACUUUGAGAGCUGAGAAGAGAAAGCUGGGAGAGAGUCUUCCAGCUUACAAAGACAUGUCUUUGGGUCAAGGAGGCAAUGAUCAACAGGAAGUAUCCGUCAAGGUCACAUCCG